CUAUAUGAAUGAAAUUAACUAUCCUAAUUAAUUUGAUCAAGUAUAAAAUUAUGUUCUAAAAGAAAUUAAUGUGUCGGCCUGAUUGGCUUCUAGGGCAUACAUCUAACAGUCUCAGGUCUAAGGAUCACUUGCAUAACUCCUACUUAGAGAACCAUCUUUUAACAUGCAAGUAAGACUCCAUAAGAUAUUUUCUAUCGAUGGGUCAAUUCACUGAACUCAUUCCUUAAUAAGCACCUAUAUCC
rnacentral:lncRNA from 1 species